UGCCAGCCGCCGCGGUAAUACGGAGGGUGCAAGCGUCGUUCGGAAUUACUGGGCGUAAAGCGCGCGUAGGCGGCUAUUUAAGUCAGAUGUGAAAGUCCACGGCUCAACCGUGGAAGUGCAUUUGAAACUGGAUGGCUUGAGUACUGGAGGGGGUGGUGGAGUUCCCGGUGUAGAGGUGAAAUUCGUAGAUAUCAGGAGGAACACCGGAGGCGAAGGCGGCUUUCUGGACCGAUACUGACGCUGAGGUGCGAAGGCGUGGGUAGCGAACAGGAUUAGAUA
rnacentral:rRNA from 1 species